GAUGAACGCUGGCGGCGUGCCUAAUACAUGCAAGUCGAGCGAACAGACGAGGAGCUUGCUCCUCUGACGUUAGCGGCGGACGGGUGAGUAACACGUGGAUAACCUACCUAUAAGACUGGGAUAACUUCGGGAAACCGGAGCUAAUACCGUAUAAUAUAUUGAACCGCAUGGUUCAAUAGUGAAAGACGGUUUUGCUGUCACUUAUAGAUGGAUCCGCGCCGGAUUAGCUAGUUGGUAAGGUAACGGCUUACCAAGGCAACGAUGCGUAGCCGACUUGACGGGGUGAUCGGCCACACUGGAACUGAGACACGGUCCAGACUACUACGGGAGGCAGCAGUAGGGAAUCUUCCGCAAUGGGCGAAAGCUUGACGGAGCAACGCCGCGUGAGUGAUGAAGGUCUUCGGAUCGUAAAACUCUGUUAUUAGGGAAGAACAAAUGUGUAAGUAACUAUGCACGUCUUGACGGUACCUAAUCAGAAAGCCACGGCUAACUACGUG
rnacentral:rRNA from 1 species